ensembl:misc_RNA Metazoa_SRP Metazoan signal recognition particle RNA
GCUAGGAGCCGUGGCGCGUGCCUGGAGGCCCAGCUACUCGGGAGGCUGAGACUAGAGGAUCUCUUGAGUCCAGGAGUUCUGGGCUGCAGUGCGCUAUGCCGAUUGAGUGUCUGCACUACUUUGGCCACCAAUAUGGUGAUCUCCCAGGAGCAGGGGACCACCAGGUUGCCUAAGGAGGGGUGAACCGGCCCAGGUGGGAAACGGAGCAGGUCAAAACUCCCAUACUGAUCAGUAGUGAAUGGCGCCUGUGAAUAGUCACUGCACUCCAGCCUGGGCAACAUAGCGAGACCCUGCCUCUU